AGAGCGAACGCUGGCGGCAGGCUUAACACAUGCAAGUCGAACGCUCGUAGCAAUACGGGAGUGGCAGACGGGUGAGUAACGCGUGGGAACAUACCCUCCGGUUCGGAAUAGCUCAGGGAAACUUGGAUUAAUACCGGAUACGGCUGAGAGGCGAAAGAUUUAUCGCCGGAGGAUUGGCCCGCGUUCGAUUAGCUUGUUGGUGAGGUAACGGCUCACCAAGGCGAUGAUCGAUAGCUGGUCUGAGAGGAUGAUCAGCCACAUUGGGACUGAGACACGGCCCAAACUCCUACGGGAGGCAGCAGUGGGGAAUAUUGGACAAUGGGCGCAAGCCUGAUCCAGCCAUGCCGCGUGAGUGAUGACGGCCUUAGGGUUGUAAAGCUCUUUCGCUCGGGACGAUAAUGACGGUACCGAGAUAAGAACGCCCGGCUAACUUCGUGCCAGCAGCCGC
rnacentral:rRNA from 1 species